CAGUUUCACAGUCCUACAGUUUAGCUGCUCUGGUCAGGAACUUUGCAUUUCUCGUGAAGCAAUAACAGCCUUCUUCAGCUGCAAUGUUAUUAACUCAAAUACCACGACUCCCCUUCCUGUGAGCUGAUAGUGCUUUCUGCCUUUGUUUCACUACUGCUCUUCUCAUACCUUCCGUUGAAGUAUAUUACAGAAAUGAUUGGCGCUUGCCUAGCACAUUAUAUCUGCAGAAGAUAUUCACAGGUCCUAACUAGUAGGUCUCAGAGCAUAUUAGAGGUCAUUUCUCAACAGAAAGGGUAGAAACAGCGUUUAGUAUUGGGCUGUCUCUCUGAUAUUUCUCUGGGCUCUGUUUGAUGCUUGGAAUAUUUUUGGAACAGAUGCUAGAUCGGUUGUGUCUUUUGAGGAGCUUGGGAACUGACAACUGCAGAAGGACAAUAUGGUCUAAAACCUUAUUACAAGUGCAACAGUAUUUCUAAGAUGAUAAAAUUGUUUGCAAAGAUCUUUUGGCCUGCUGGAAACAAAUCUCAUGUGCCUUCCUCCAGCUAGCUGGAAGGGGGGAAACUUACCUGAAGUUUUCUGCCUUUUUGGCAGGGCAGCAAGUCCGUAUGAGGCUCUAAAAAUGAAACCAACAGGAGAAACGGGCUAUGGACUGAGCCAAGGGACAGCCAGCGGGGAAUUUGUGCUCCCACUGAGUGAGAUUGGAGAUGAUGUAGAUAUGAAAUGGUUAAGAACUUGAAGAAAUGAUGGAAUCCAUCUGGCAUGGGACAAAACCCGCAACUAUCCUCACCCACAGAAGUGGCUUCACUGCUAAAAGAGUUGCAGCACCAACUGAAGCCCUGCUUUCACCUGCUGAUGGCUAACUGCACUAGGAACAGAAACAUUUUUUACCUGUUGCAACUCCAUUGAAGCCAACAGAUUUGUAUGCAAGAGCUUGGGGCAGAGGCAGUGUGCUGUCUGUUGCUAGUUUUAUAAGUGAUUGCAUAUUUGUUUGCUCAAAACCAUAUUGUAAUGCAAAUUGUAUGCCAAUGAAAAUACAGAAUAAUUUGUCUUGGUUGCAGAACCAAAGCUGCACGAUCUAGAUCUCAA